UGAGGGUAUUUUGAUCAUAUCUUUUUCGUUACAACUUCGAUUCGAGCCCACUACGUGUCUACGGACUCAUCUUGCCGUCCUCUAUGCAACGGUAUAGUCGAAAUUCCCAAAUUCCUUUCCGGUCAAAAAGUCAACUUUAAACCUAAUAAAAUAUUCUAGGGGCAAAAUGGUCUUUUACCUGAAUAAAUUAAUAUUUACCUAUUUAUUUAGGACUGGGUCGUUACAAAUGUUGCCUAGCUAUGAAU
rnacentral:lncRNA from 1 species